rnacentral:rRNA from 1 species
UACGUAGGGUGCAAGCGUUAAUCGGAAUUACUGGGCGUAAAGCGUGCGCAGGCGGUUUGUCGCGUCUGUCGUGAAAGCCCCGGGCUCAACCUGGGAAUUGCGAUGGAGACUGCAAGGCUUGAAUCUGGCAGAGGGGGGUAGAAUUCCACGUGUAGCAGUGAAAUGCGUAGAGAUGUGGAGGAACACCGAUGGCGAAGGCAGCCCCCUGGGUCAAGAUUGACGCUCAUGCACGAAAGCGUGGGGAGCAAACAGG